AUAAACUUUCAGAUAGAAAAUGCAGUUGAAAGAUAUUUCAUAAAGGAAGAAAAAGUAAGAAUACAGCUUUAACCGUUUAUUGUGGUGGAGUCUUUAAGAUUUUCUCUACCUUGAGUGCGCCAGGCGCGGGGAGCCUAGGACCUGGAGCGAGAGCCGCCUACCUGCAGCCGCCGCCCACGGCACGGCAGCCACCAUGGCGCUCCUGCUGCGCUUCGUGCUCCUGUGCAGAGUCGCGGAUUUCAUCAGAGGUUGGAGUAUCACUACUCCUGAGCAGAUGAUUGAAAAAGCCAAAGGGGAAACUGCCUAUCUGCCAUGCAAAUUUACGCUUAGUCCUGAAGACCAGGGACCACUGGACAUCGAGUGGCUGAUAUCACCAGCUGAUAAUCAGAAGGUGGAUCAAGUGAUUAUUUUAUAUUCUGGAGACAAAAUUUAUGAUGACUACUAUCCAGAUCUGAAAGGCCGAGUACAUUUUAAGAGUAAUGAUCUCAAAUCUGGUGAUGCAUCAAUAAAUGUAACGAAUUUUCAGCUGUCAGAUAUUGGCACAGAUCAGUGCAAAGUGAAAAGAGCUCCUGGUGUUGCAAAUAGGAAGAUUCAGCUGGUAGUUCUUGGUAAGCCUUCAGGUACAAGAUGUUACGUUGAUGGAUCAGAAGAAAUUGGAAGUGACUUUAAAUUAAAAUGUGAACCAAAAGAAGGUUCACUUCCAUUACAGUAUGAGUGGCAAAAAUUGUCUGACUCACAGAAAAUGCCCACUUCAUGGUUAGCAGAAAUGACUUCAUCUGUUAUAUCUAUAAAAAUGCUUCUUCUGAGUACUCUGGGACAUACAGCUGUACAUCAGAAACAGAGUGGGCUCUGAUCAGUGCCUGUUGCGUGUAAACGUUGUCCCUCCUUCAAAUAAAGCUGGACUAAUUGCAGGAGCCAUUAUAGGAACUUUGCUUGCUCUAGUGCUCAUUGGUCUUAUCAUCUUUUGCUGUCGUAAAAAGUGCAGAGAAGAAAAAUAUGAAAAGGAAGUUCAUCACGAUAUCAAGGAAGAUGUGCCGCCUCCAAAGAGCCGCACGUCCACUGCCAGAAGCUACAUAGGCAGUAAUCAUUCAUCCCUGGGAUCCAUAUCUCCUUCCAACAUGGAAGGAUAUUCCAAGACUCAGUAUAAACAAGUACCAAGUGAAGACUUUGAACGCACUCCUCAGAGUCCGACUCUCCCACCUGCUAAGGUAGCUGCCCCUAAUCUAAGUCGAAUGGGCGCGAUUCCUGUGAUGAUUCCCGCACAGAGCAAGGAUGGGUCUAUAGUAUAGAGCCUCCAUACGUCUCAUCUGUGCUCUCCGUGUUCCUUUCCUUUUUUUGAUAUAUGAAAACCUAUUCUGGUCUAAAUUUUGUUACUAGCCUCAGAAUGUAUCAAAAAAUAAGUUAAUCAGGAGCUGUAAGGAAUAUAUUUUUAAAAAUUUUUGUUUGGUUAUAUCGAAAUAGUUACGGGCAUUAAAGUUAGUAAAGACAAGUUUA
ensembl:lncRNA novel transcript